rnacentral:rRNA from 1 species
AGAGUUUGAUCAUGGCUCAGGAUGAACGCUGGCGGCGUGCCUAACACAUGCAAGUCGAGCGGAGAUCUUGGAAGUAGCAAUACGGAAAAGAUCUUAGCGGCGGACGGGUGAGUAACACGUGAGGAACCUACCUUCAACUGGGGAAUAACACCGUGAAAACGGUGCUAAUACCGCAUAACGUUGCACCAUGGCAUCAUGGAGCAACCAAAGGAGCAAUCCGGUUAAAGAUGGCCUCGCGUCCGAUUAGUUAGUUGGUGGGGUAAUGGCCUACCAAGACAGCGAUCGGUAGCCGGACUGAGAGGUCGAUCGGCCACAUUGGAACUGAGAAACGGUCCAGACUCCUACGGGAGGCAGCAGUGGGGAAUAUUGGGUAAUGGGCGAAAGCCUGACCCAGCAACGCCGCGUGAAGGAAGAAGGCCUUCGGGUUGUAAACUUCUUUGAUCGGGGACGAAAAAAAUGACGGUACCCGAAAAACAAGCCACGGCUAACUACGUGCCAGCAGCCGCGGUAAUACGUAGGUGGCGAGCGUUAUCCGGAUUUACUGGGUGUAAAGGGCGUGUAGGCGGUUUUUCAAGUCGGAUGUGAAAUUCCCAGGCUUAACCUGGGCGCUGCAACCGAAACUGAGAAACUUGAGUACUGGAGAGGAUAGUGGAAUUCCUAGUGUAGCGGUAAAAUGCGUAGAUAUUAGGAGGAACACCGGUGGCGAAGGCGACUAUCUGGACAGUAACUGACGCUGAGGCGCGAAAGCGUGGGGGAGCAAACAGGAUUAGAUACCCUGGCAGUCCACGCCGUAAACGAUGGAUACUAGGUGUAGGGGGUAUCGACCCCCCCUGUGCCGGAGUUAACACAAUAAGUAUCCCACCUGGGGAGUACGGCCGCAAGGCUGAAACUCAAAGGAAUUGACGGGGGCCCGCACAAGCGGUGGAGCAUGUGGUUUAAUUCGACGCAACGCGCAGAACCUUACCAGCCCUUGACAUGUCCAGGACCGGUCGCAGAGAUGUGACCUUCUCUUCGGAGCCUGGAGCACAGGUGCUGCAUGGCUGUCGUCAGCUCGUGUCGUGAGAUGUUGGGUUAAGUCCCGCAACGAGCGCAACCCCCGUCCUUAGUUGCUACCAUUUAGUUGAGCACUCUAAGGAGACUGCCGGUGAUAAGCCGCGAGGAAGGUGGGGAUGACGUCAAGUCCUCAUGGCCCUUACGGGCUGGGCUACACACGUGCUACAAUGGCGGUGACAAUGGGAUGCAAAGGGGCGACCCCUAGCAAAUCUCAAAAAGCCGUCUCAGUUCGGAUUGGGCUCUGCAACUCGAGCCCAUGAAGUUGGAAUCGCUAGUAAUCGUGGAUCAGCAUGCCACGGUGAAUACGUUCCCGGGCCUUGUACACACCGCCCGUCACACCAUGGGAGUUGGUUUUACCUGAAGACGGUGCGCUAACCGAAAGGGGGCAGCCGGCCACGGUAGGGUCAGCGACUGGGGUGAAGUCGUAACAAGGUAACC